AGUGAACGCUGGCGGUAGGCCUAACACAUGCAAGUCGAACGGCAGCACAGUAAGAGCUUGCUCUUACGGGUGGCGAGUGGCGGACGGGUGAGGAAUACAUCGGAAUCUACUUUUUCGUGGGGGAUAACGUAGGGAAACUUACGCUAAUACCGCAUACGACCUACGGGUGAAAGCAGGGGAUCUUCGGACCUUGCGCGAUUGAAUGAGCCGAUGUCGGAUUAGCUAGUUGGCGGGGUAAAGGCCCACCAAGGCGACGAUCCGUAGCUGGUCUGAGAGGAUGAUCAGCCACACUGGAACUGAGACACGGUCCAGACUCCUACGGGAGGCAGCAGUGGGGAAUAUUGGACAAGGGGCGCGAGCCUGAUCCAGCCAUACCGCGUGGGUGAAGAAGGACUUCGGGUUGUAAAGCCCUUUUGUUGGGAAAGAAAAGCAGCAGGUUAAUACCCCGCUGUUCUGACGGUACCCAAAGAAUAAGCACCGGCUAACUUCGUG
rnacentral:rRNA from 1 species